UCCGUGUUAACCACGGCAGUCUCUUUAGAGUGCCCAACUUAAUGCUGGCAACUAAAGACAAGGGUUGCGCUCGUUGCGGGACUUAACCCAACAUGUCACCACACGAGCUGACGACAGCCAUGCAGCACCUGUCACCCUGCGGUAUUGCUACCGAGACCGUAUUUCUACGGCUGUCAGGGGAUGUCAAACCCAGGUAAGGUUUUGCGCGUUGCUUCGAAUUAAACCACAUGAUCCACCGCUUGUGCGGGCCCCCGUCAAUUCCUUUGAGUUUUAGUCUUGCGACCGUACUUCCCAGGCGGAGUACUUAUUGCGUUAGCUCCGGCACGGCAGGGGUCAAGACCCGCCAUGCCUAGUACUCAUCGUUUACGGCGUGGACUAC
rnacentral:misc_RNA from 1 species